UUGUUCCUAAGUUACAUAAGAUUUUUUGUGCCGAGGAGGGCUAGGGUAUAUUUACUAAGCUACAUACACUAGGAUGAUCUUUUCUCUUGACGAGGAGGGCUAGGGUUCCAGCCGAGAGGGAAGAGAGAAAACCCCAACUUGAACAAAUUUUAUAUUCCAAGGUGCGUGUACAAGUAUGUAUAUCCUUUUACAAAUAUGCAAAUCGUGCAUUUAGAUACCAUAACGGGAUACAAUGACCCUGAUGAUCAAUCACGAGCUUAUCAAGCAUGCAUGCACGAGCGAGGGAGCCCAUGCAAUGGAUGGAUGCAUCAGAUGGGGCAGGUGAAGUUGGUUGGGCACUUCUUGCCGCACUGGUUGAGGAGGAGGGUCAGGUCGAUGGGGACGUUGAGCUUNN
rnacentral:lncRNA from 1 species